GGGACAUAUGCGUGGUCGAAAUUAUAAGCAACUUUCUUCUAAUUUCCCCCCUUCUUAAUGGCUAUCUCCUCUUCAACUUCAGGAACUAGUAGUUCCCUGCCCUCAAGAACUACUGUCAUGCUUCUUCUGAUUUUCUUUACAGCAAGCCUUGGUAUAACAGAUGCCCAGGUAGGCGUUUGCUAUGGAAUGCAAGGCAACAACCUUCCAUCUGUUUCAGAGGUCAUAGCUCUCUAUAAAAAAUCUAACAUCACGAGAAUGAGAAUUUAUGAUCCAAAUCAAGCAGUAUUGGAAGCCCUUAGAGGCUCAAACAUUGAACUCAUACUAGGUGUUCCAAACUCAGAUCUCCAAAGCCUUACCAAUCCUUCCAAUGCAAACUCAUGGGUACAAAAAAAUGUUCGUGGCUUCUGGUCAAGUGUCAGGUUCAGAUAUAUAGCAGUUGGCAACGAAAUUAGUCCUGUAAAUGGAGGCACAGCUUGGUUGGCCCAAUUUGUUUUGCCUGCCAUGAGAAAUAUACAUGAUGCUAUAAGAUCAGCUGGUCUUCAAGAUCAAAUCAAGGUCUCCACUGCAAUUGACUUGACCCUGGUAGGAAAUUCCUACCCUCCUUCUGCAGGUGCUUUCAGGGAUGAUGUUAGAUCAUACUUGGACCCAAUUAUUGGAUUUCUAUCCUCUAUCAGGUCACCUUUACUUGCCAAUAUUUAUCCUUACUUUACUUAUGCUGGUAAUCCAAGGGAUAUUUCCCUUCCCUAUGCUUUGUUCACUUCACCAUCAGUUGUUGUGUGGGAUGGUCAGCGAGGUUAUAAGAACCUUUUUGAUGCAACGUUGGAUGCAUUGUACUCUGCUCUUGAGAGGGCUAGUGGUGGUUCUCUGGAGGUGGUUGUUUCGGAAAGUGGCUGGCCGUCUGCCGGAGCAUUUGCUGCCACAUUUGACAAUGGGCGUACUUAUCUCUCAAAUUUGAUCCAACAUGUUAAAGGAGGUACUCCUAAGAGGCCUAACAGAGCUAUAGAGACUUACUUAUUUGCCAUGUUUGAUGAAAAUAAGAAGCAACCAGAGGUUGAGAAACACUUUGGACUUUUCUUUCCUGAUAAACGGCCAAAAUAUAAUCUCAAUUUUGGUGCAGAAAAGAACUGGGAUAUUUCUACUGAACACAAUGCAACAAUACUUUUCCUUAAGAGUGAUAUGUGAGAUUGUGAGAAUUUAAGUACUAUAUAUAUUUCCAAUGUAUGCAUGUAUCCAUGUAUUAAAUAAGAGAACCUUUUCUCAAUUUUUUUUAUGCAUUAAAAAUCAAUGAAAUUCAAUGUUCCUAUAAU
rnacentral:misc_RNA from 1 species